rnacentral:rRNA from 1 species
UACGGAGGGGACUAGCGUUGUUCGGAAUUACUGGGCGUAAAGCGCACGUAGGCGGAUUUGUAAGUCAGGGGUGAAAUCCCGGGGCUCAACCUCGGAACUGCCUUUGAUACUGCAAAUCUCGAGUCCGGAAGAGGUGAGUGGAAUUCCUAGUGUAGAGGUGAAAUUCGUAGAUAUUAGGAAGAACACCAGUGGCGAAGGCGGCUCACUGGUCCGGUACUGACGCUGGAGGUGCGAAAGCGUGGGGAGCAAAC